GAUGAACGCUGGCGGCGUGCCUAAUACAUGCAAGUCGAGCGAAUGGAUUAAGAGCUUGCUCUUAUGAAGUUAGCGGCGGACGGGUGAGUAACACGUGGGUAACCUGCCCAUAAGACUGGGAUAACUCCGGGAAACCGGGGCUAAUACCGGAUAACAUUUUGAACCGCAUGGUUCGAAAUUGAAAGGCGGCUUCGGCUGUCACUUACGGAUGGACCCGCGUCGCAUUAGCUAGUUGGUGAGGUAACGGCUCACCAAGGCAACGAUGCGUAGCCGACCUGGAAGGGUGAUCGGCCACACGGGGACUGGGACACGGCCCAGACUCCUACGGGAGGCAGCAGUAGGGAAUCCUCCGCAAUGGACGAAAGUCUGACGGAGCAACGCCGCGUGAGUGAUGAAGGCUUUCGGGUCGUAAAACUCUGUUGUUAGGGAAGAACGAGUGCUAGUUGAAUAAGCUGGCACCUUGACGGUACCUAACCAGAAAGCCACGGCUAACUACGUGCCAGCCGCCGCGGUAA
rnacentral:rRNA from 1 species